rnacentral:rRNA from 1 species
UACGUAGGGUGCGAGCGUUGUCCGGAAUUAUUGGGCGUAAAGGGCUCGUAGGCGGUUUGUCACGUCGGGAGUGAAAACUCGGGGCUUAACCCCGAGCCUGCUCCGAUACGGGCAGACUAGAGGUAUGCAGGGGAGAACGGAAUUCCUGGUGUAGCGGUGAAAUGCGCAGAUAUCAGGAGGAACACCGGUGGCGAAGGCGGUUCUCUGGGCAUUACCUGACGCUGAGGAGCGAAAGUGUGGGGAGCGAACAGG